rnacentral:rRNA from 1 species
AUGGGCGCAAGCCUGAUGCAGCCAUGCCGCGUGUGUGAAGAAGGCCUUCGGGUUGUAAAGCACUUUCAGUCGUGAGGAAGGCGGGUACGUUAAUAGCGUAUUCGUUUGACGUUAGCGACAGAAGAAGCACCGGCUAACUCCGUGCCAGCAGCCGCGGUAAUACGGAGGGUGCGAGCGUUAAUCGGAAUUACUGGGCGUAAAGCGCAUGCAGGUGGUUCGUUAAGUCAGAUGUGAAAGCCCGGGGCUCAACCUCGGAACAGCAUUUGAAACUGGCGGACUAGAGUACUGUAGAGGGGGGUAGAAUUUCAGGUGUAGCGGUGAAAUGCGUAGAGAUCUGAAGGAAUACCGGUGGCGAAGGCGGCCCCCUGGACAGAUACUGACACUCAGAUGCGAAAGCGUGGGGAGCAAACAGGAUUAGAUACCCUGGUAGUCCACGCCGUAAACGAUGUCAUACUUGGAGGUUGUGGCCUUGAGCCGUGGCUUUCGGAGCUAACGCGUUAAGUAGACCGCCUGGGGAGUACGGU